rnacentral:lncRNA from 1 species
AACUUUGAGAGCUUUUGGAUCUUUUCGCCCCCACACCCUGGGGAAAUUGCCUGCUACUCUUGGAUGAGCAAACAUAAAAGUCGAGCUAAGCCACUCGAUCCCAUCCCCAUCAUGUGCUGUGCACCUCCUGACCUGAGACCUGCUCGGGAUAGCCAUCUAGUAACAUCACUCAUCAUGCUUCUGAGUCUUCCAUCUCGUGCCUGAUCCAUCUCCACCUGGAGCUCCACCUCACACUGGGCUCCUACUGGCAUCCUCCAUAUAAAUGGCUCCUUGUACAAGAAAGCAUCGAUUAAUCCUUCACGAUUGAUCUCCAUCUUGAUUGUGCCUAUCUUCUCUUUCUUCAAUCUUGAUCACCACUGCUGCAACACGCACUCUGGUACCGUCCGGUUCUGAUACCAUUUGUUGUGCAUGAUAUCACUCACUCUAAUAUCAUUUAUUGUACAGGAUCUAAUACUGCUCGA